rnacentral:rRNA from 1 species
GAUGAACGCUAGCUACAGGCUUAACACAUGCAAGUCGAGGGGUAACGAGAGGAAAGCUUGCUUUCCUUGUCGACGACCGGCGCACGGGGGAGUAACGCGUAUCCAACCUGCCCCCAACUAGGGAAUAACCUUGCGAAAGUAAGACUAAUACCCUAUAAUUUCCUCAGAUGACAUCUGACGAGGAAUAAAGAUUUAUCGGUUGUGGAUGGGGAUGCGUCUGAUUAGCUUGUUGGCGGGGUAACGGCCCACCAAGGCAACGAUCAGUAGGGGUUCUGAGAGGAAGGGCCCCCAAAUUGGAACUAGGACCGGGUUCAAACUCCUUCGGGAGGAAUCAGGGAGGAAUAUUGGGCAAUGGUCGGAAGCCUGAACCAGCAAAGUAACGUGCGGGAUGACGGACCUAUGGGUUGUAAACUGCUUUUAUACAGGAAUAAAGUUAGCCACGUGUGGUUAUUUGUAGGUACUGUAUGAAUAAGGACCGGCUAAUUCCGUGCCAGCCGCCGCAGUAA